UCCACGGAAAAAAUUCAACUUUUAUGAAAUCAAGAAGUCCAACAAUAAAAACACCUAGGAGCUUCAAAAGUUUGGACAUAUAAUGUUGCCAACUCUCAUAUAUCAUAAACCACAACAAAUUACAGUUGGAAAACAAUGGAAAAUACCUGGGUCAGAUAAUGAACAUGUUUAAUCAUCCUAAUUGAAUGAUAUUACUCGACAAUGCUGGCUUGAGAUCAAUAUGAAAAGACUAGUGAAUACCAACUCU
rnacentral:misc_RNA from 1 species